rnacentral:lncRNA from 1 species
AACCAACGUUAUACAGGACAACAACAUCAUAUAACUACUCUUACAGUCACCACACGGUUCCAAUAGAAGCCCAAUAGACAAACUUGACUUGAAGCCCACGUAAACAACAACAAUGGAACAAAGUAGCAUGCAUAAUAUCACCCUACAACAACAAAGGUAUGAAAAACACCAGUUUAAAAUUUCCAGAACAGAACGACGCAGAUAAAAGCAAAUUUUUACGCUGAAUAUAAGCAUCAUGCAAGCUAACCACAUCUCACUAUCCAUCAAAACCAUUUCGGUUGAAAUAACCCUCCUAGGGAUGAAGGUGCUUUCGAUGUCCCAUACAAGAAUGACUCUAACCAUAACAUACCAAUUCAUAAAUUUAGGUUCAAGAGCAAGGAGACGUGUUAUGGCAUGUUUCAUUUUGAACGUUAAACGUUGCAAGUUACUGAAGUUAUGUGCUUUUGCUAAAAAACUUAAUGUAUUGUAAAAUUAUAUGCCCUAGUUGGUAGCUCAAGUUCAUAACUCUCAUAAGGAGAUAGAGGUGAAUAUCAAUAGAGGAAAAAAAAUAAGUGCAAACUCUAGUCAAUAAUAUAAUUUUAACAUAACAAACAACAUGCAUAGACCCAAAGUAAACUCCACUACUGUCAGUAGUGGAGCCAAAAAAAUUCAACUAGUGGAAGCACCAUAUAUAUAUAUAUAUGAAGGUGAGAAAAACACAAGAAGGGGGUUGAAUUCUGUUAGCUUUUUCUCCUAAGCUGAAAAACACUGAUCAGAAGCAGAUAUAGUUCCACUUCUGAAGUGGUGUUCAUAACUAUAUGCAGCGGAUAAAAUAGAGAGAGAAAGAAGAAAGACACAAAGCAAUUAUACAAGUUCCUUCCACAAACCGGAAGUUAGUCAUGUCCCCCUUGCACUUCCAAUGAGAGUUCACUAUGUAAAAUCUGAUUACAAUUGCUCACUGCUAAAACUAGCAAGUGACUUCAGAUUGCUCAAGCACAACUACAAGAGACUUCCUAUGCUCCUGAACACAAUCAAGAGACUUCUAAUGCUCAAGCACAACUGCAAGAGACUUCUUAAUUCAAACAGAAUUACAAGAAAAAUGUUUGAGGUUGAACACUUGAUAUACAAUCAGUGGUUUUCACAAUACAAAUCAGAUACAGACUCUUAAGACUCUAGAAUUUCUAAGAUAUGGACUUUGAUAAGAAAUUCUAAGUGAACUUUUGAAUGCAGAACAAUUUCAGCAGAGUUUUGACACUUGUAAUUCUUGGUAUUGUUCUGUACAAAACUCUAAGUCUUCACUCCUUUAUAUAGAGGUGUGAAAGAGACGUUGUGAAUUGCCAGCACAUCAAAAUAGAGUCGUUUGAAACUUUGAUCAAUCACCAAUGAUCUUUUUCCUGAUAUGGUUAUUGUCCUAUGAAGGAUCAAUUUCAAAUCCAUUCCCAUUGUGAAGGAACAUUGUUGCAGGCAGAGCUGUUUUUCUUGUCUUGCAGCAGAGAUAAAAACUGAAUAGUGGAGGUAGUGGUUGUAUACUUCGUACAAUUGUACUUUGUCAACGCUCUUUGAAGAACAAGCAUCCAAUGCCUUUAAAUCCUUUCAAAAAUAGUCGUUGCUUCACUCUUCUAGUCUUAUGCAAUGCUUAGAUGAGAUUAAAUCCAAUGAAAAGCCUUUGAAGCUUUAAGUCUUGCAUCUCUUGAUGAAAUAGAGCUUCUGGUGAUUUUCAGCUUCUGAUGUACUUGCUUAUGAUGAACUUGCUUAUGAUGACGUCACCACUUCAGGAGCACUUUGUCUUCAGUAGCACUUUGACUUCAGGAGCAGUUCUCUUCAGACGCUUUAAGCUUCCUUUUUGUUGAUUCCUUUGCUCUCUAUUGUUCUUCUAGAACCUUUUUAAGAUGUCAAAUUUUUGUCUAUGGUCCUGUACACUUGAACAAAUAUUAGCAUAUCCAAUUGACAAUUUUUAAUACCUUGUUAUCAUCAAAACUCUCAAAGGGUAAUUUUAAACACAUUUUGUUCCAACAAUCUUCCCCUUUUUGAUGAUGACAAACAAUAAUAUUUAAAAUGUGCAAUUGUUGUUAAUCUAAUUAACAAGUUGACUAAAAGGGUAUGAAGUUUGUAAGCUUCCCCUGAGUUCAAUAGUACUUUAUGGUGAGGUUUGUAAGCUCCCCCUGAGUUCUAUCCAUGUUAAUUAAAUUCAUCAUUUAAAAGCGAAAUAACUCUCAGAAUAAUUUCACAUUAAUAGACUAAGAGAUAAGAAGAAGGCCUUAUUAAUUUAACUUGAUUAGAAUUAAAUUAAUGGGGCUCAGAGCCUAUAAAUACUAUACAGCUACUCCCCCUUUUGUCAUCAACAAAAAAUAUAAAAUAAAGACAAAAAGAAAGAGAUGAGAAAAAUAGUGAGAAAUGCUGUAAGUAUAUAAAUUCCAAAGCAAUUUAUAUUUUCGAAAUAUCGAAUGAUUUUCACAUUUUCAAUCUCAAUAAAAACCUCUCUCUAUAUAUAAGUAACUCAAUCAUUUAACCAUUCAUCACCCAUUCAAUUUUGCAACUCAGACAUAAUAAUCUUUAUAGAUGAGAAAGCUCUUUCAGCUGUUGCCACAUGUAGUAUCAAAGAUAACUUUAAAAGCAAAUAUACCAACGGAUACACAAUAUGUUUCCUUUUCUCCACCAUCUUUAUACUCAAAUCACCAAUCCCCUCUAAUUCAAAAAAUGCAUCUUCAGAGCAUACAUCUACAAUAUAAUUUUCAAGUUGAGAAUCUAGUGCCAAUAACAGGAGAAAAUUUUGAAGGAUAAAAUUGAGCUAAACGAAUCAACUUCUGCUUAAUGCAGAAAAGCUAUCUCUUGGGCUUAAACAAGCUACACAAAGAAGCAACUCAGUAUUCACUUCUGAAAAACGAUUAUUUAACUCUUCAAGUUGUCGAUCAAUCACUUGAUAGAAGAAUUGAACUUGAAAGUAAUGUAAGUUAAAAACUUUCUCCGAGUUGCGCUUUGACUUUUCAAAUGUUUGAUUGGUAUCAUCCAUAUUUGGGAUGACAACUUCAUGAUGUUCACAAAACAAUGAAACUUCAUUUGAGCAAAGAAUCCCAACCACUAUCCCUUAUAGUUUGUAACUUCUGUUUGGACAUUUUGACUAAUUUCAUGACAUUAACAAUAUCUUGAUCACUUCUUUGUAAUGCUUGAGAUAACUUAUGAGUAAUUGACAAAACUUUUUUCAUUAAGCUCAAGAUGAAAAUAAAUUCAAAAGAUUGCAUACAUUUCAACAAAAGCUUUGCAUCGCCUUUUUUCUCUAAGCUUGUUCCAUCUUCCUCGAUCAUGCCAAACACAUCAAUCAUAUGAGAGAAUAAAGAAACUAUACUAAAUAAUGUACCAUAAUGUGAACUCCAUCGAGUAUCCCCCGCCUUCUUAACUUCGGUUUCUUGAUUCAAGCCACGCACACUAGUUAUUUCUCCUACUUUCAAUGCUUCCUCCACCUUUUUAAAUUGACUUUAACGAAGAGCAUCUCGACGCUUACAUGAUCCUCCAACAACAUUACACAAAUUAGCCACUAGAUAAAAAUAUGAUGCAAUGUCAGGAUGUUUUUUUUGCUAAUGUCACAAGAGCUAAUUGGACUUGAUGAGCAAAACAAUGAAUAUAGAAAGCACAACAAUUUUCUUUCAAUAUCAAGAUUUUAAGACCAUUAUAUUCACCACGCAUGUUGCUUGCUCCAUCAUAUCUGUAACGCCCACUUUCGUUUAAUCGUUUAUUUAUUCAAGUUUAGGUGAUUAUAUUAUAAUUAUAUAAUAUGUGCAUGAUUUUGGUAUGUUUUGAUGAUUUAUGAUGAUUUGAUUGAUGACGUGAUAAGUUAUGAGUUUUGGAGGAUUUGAUUAUGUUAUGAGAUUUAUUUUAUUGUUAAAUAGAAUAAAGAUUUGAAAAUAAUAUAAAAUAUUUAGUUGAGGGCUGUUUUGAUAUUUUAGAUAGUUUUGGGGGAGAAAGUGAGAUAAGAUAAGUUAUUAGAAAGAGGUAUAAAUAGGGAAGACCUAAUAUCUUUAGAAAACCAUUGUACGUGAAAACUUUUGGAAAAAGGGAGAAAAGCUUAGAGAGGAGCAAGAGACCAAGAGUGCUGCGAUUUUCUUCAAACAAGGUAAGGGUGAGACUAAUAAUUCAAUAAUGUUAUUUACUGUAAUUCUGAUGAUUAGUUGACAAAGUUAGGAUUGAUUUAGAGAAGUUUUGGAAUUAGGUCAAAACCCUAAAAAUUGAUGAUCAAACGGUAAAACUCGUUUAGAUUGAUGUAGAAACCGUCCUUUAACCUUAGAACAUGUUUAGGAUGGAUUAUGGAAUCAAAAUUAGGCUUUGAACCAUGUUGUGUGAUGGAUUUUUGAGAAAAACCCUAGUCUGCCCGUGCUUCUGUUCAUCGCUCGCCACGACGAGUGAUGAUCCUCGCCUCGCGAGUGAUGAACUUCAUCGCUCGCCACGCGAGCCCCUUCCCUUCGCCUCGCGAGUUGUUUGGUGCAACUCGCCAUGGCGAGCAACCUUUCCUCGCCUCGCGAGCUUAGGCAGAGUGCAUGUCAUAUUUCGUGUUUCGACCUUUUUAGUUGAAUCUUGUAUGCCUUUGAGUACCUGAACAUACCUAGCAUUGAUUAGGAAUGAAUGUAGGAUCAGAGGGAACCCAGAACAACCUUAGUUUGGGAGUUGAGUGGUACUCGCCAUGGCGAGUAAGUACUCUCGCCUCGCGAGUACAACCAGGAUGAACUUGUUUAUGUGUUUAUGCGAUCUGUGUCGCACUUGUUGAUCAAGAGUGAACCCCUAACUGGUAAUGAGACCUAGUGAUGUCGUUUAAUGCAGACUGUAGAGUUGUUUAAGUUAUAUUAAUAUUAAUUGAAUAUGAACUAUUGUAUUGUAUAUUCAUGCAAGAUAAGAAGAUGUGAUAAUGAUACAAAUUAUGUGCUUUGAUAUAAUGAUAUCAUCUUGUUAUGUGACCUGUUUAUGCUGCUUCCGUUAUUUAACUAAGUGCAUAAUUAUAUGAUGAAGUUUAGCUCCAAAUUAUUGGAUGCAUGUUGAUAAGUUGAUUACGAUGUUUUGUUCAUAUGUGUCCAUGCAUAGCAUAUCAUUGAGCUUAGUCCUCACCACGAAUAUUAGGAGCUUUGUCCUCCGCACGUUUUAUAGGAGCUUUGUCCUCCGCACGAUUAAAGUAUAUUAAUACUUAUGAUGACGAUUGGUACCACAUGCAUAUAAGGAGUCUAGGAGCAUUGUCACAUUGUCAUGAUUAAGAUGCCUUGUUGAUAAUGAAUGAAUAUGUGAUUAUGUGAUAAGUGUUUAUUGAUUAUGUUACGUUGUUCAUAAUGAAUUGGAUAUAUGAUUACGUGAUAAUUGUUUAGCAUUUAUGCAAAGUUAAUAAUGGAAUGAUUAUGAUGUUAAUUUAUGAUUCGCAAUUACAUUGAUUAAUGUUAUUUUAUUAUGAAAUCUCACCCCUUCUGCUUGAAAAUGUUGCCCUUCGUAUGGGUAACUUGCAGGUGAUCGUGCUUAGUGUGCAGUUGUCGUCGUGAGUGGCCUUGCCUUCACUGUGUCGUCUAGGUCGUUCUGAUACGUAACGGGAUGGGGUUUUAUGCUAUAACAUGCUUCAUUCUCUUACGUGAACUGCCAUGAAUAUUUACUGUUUUGAUUAACUCUUUUGAGAUACUUGUUGGGCCUGCGUGCCAAAACGUUUCAUGAAUUAUGGUUAAGAUUUUCCGCUGCAAAUGUUUAAGAUAUUGGUUAAAUUAUUAUUUAACUGUUGGAUUACGUUAUAUGUGAUAUCCCGUUGUUUGAUGUUUACUCUGAUAAAUGUUAUGUUUUUAAAGAAAUUUUAAAUAUUGGGAAAACGAGGUGUUACAAUUGGUAUCAGAGCAGGUCGAUCCGUCCGGUCAAUUAGAGAGUUGUGUCGAGUCUUAGUAAUAUUUAUAUUACUAUCUUAUGUUGUUGUUGCUACUUUUGUAGAAUCUCGGAAAUGGCUGGAAGAAACGAUGCUGCGUUAGCUGCUGCUCUACAAGCUGUUGCCCAAGCUGUGGGACAACAACCUAACGCAAAUGCUGGUGCGAACGCGGAAGCUAUGAUGUUGGAGACGUUCAUGAAGAAGAACCCUCCGACUUUCAAAGGACGUUAUGACCCUGAUGGAGCCCAGAUGUGGCUUAAGGAGAUUGAGAGGAUUUUCCGGGUUAUGCAGUGCACGGAGGAUCAGAAAGUGCGGUUUGGUACUCAUCAGCUGGCCGAGGAAGCUGAUGACUGGUGGGUUGCUCUUCUGCCUACCCUUGGACAGGAGGGAGCUGUUGUGACUUGGGCUGUUUUCAGGAGAGAGUUCCUGAGAAGAUACUUUCCGGAAGAUGUUCGUGGGAAGAAAGAGAUCGAAUUCCUUGAGCUAAAGCAAGGAAAUAUGUCCGUGACAGAGUAUGCUGCCAAGUUCGUGGAGCUGUCUAAGUUCUACCCGCACUAUACUGCUGAGAAUGCUGAGUUCUCGAGAUGCAUCAAGUUCGAGAACGGUUUGAGGCCCGACAUUAAGAGGGCGAUUGGAUACCAACAGCUGAGAGUUUUUCAGGAUUUGGUUAAUAGCUGCAGGAUCUAUGAAGAGGAUACGAAGGCUCACUACAAGGUAGUGAAUGAAAGGAAGGGCAAGGGACAGCAGAGUCGUCCUAAGCCGUACAGUGCCCCCGCUGACAAAGGUAAACAGAAGAUGGUCGAUGUUAGGCGGCCUAAGAAGAAGGAUGCUGCGGAGAUUGUGUGUUUCAAUUGUGGUGAGAAAGGCCACAAAAGCAACGUCUGCCCUGAGGAAAUCAAGAAGUGUGUCCGGUGUGGCAAGAAAGGUCAUGUUAUAGCUGAUUGCAAUCGUACAGACAUUGUGUGCUUUAAUUGCAAUGGAGAGGGUCACAUUAGUUCACAGUGUACUCAGCCUAAGAGGGCGCCGACUACUGGUAGGAUCUUUGCUUUGACUGGGACUCAGACAGAGAAUGAGGAUCGUUUGAUCAGAGGUACUUGCUAUAUUAAUAAUACUCCUUUAGUUGCUAUUAUUGAUACUGGUGCUACGCAUUGUUUUAUUGCUUUCGAUUGUGUUUCUGCUUUGGGUCUUGAUUUGUCUGAUAUGAAUGGAGAGAUGGUUGUCGAAACUCCAGCUAAGGGUUCGGUGACUACUUCUCUCGUAUGUUUGAAAUGUCCUUUGUCUAUGUUUGGUCGUGAUUUUGAAAUGGAUUUAGUUUGUCUACCUUUGAGUGGUAUGGAUGUGAUUUUAGGUAUGAACUGGUUAGAGUACAACCACGUUCUUAUUAAUUGUUUUAGCAAGUCAGUACAUUUCUCUUCCGUCGAAGAGGAAAGUGGUGCAGAGUUUUUAUCUACUAAGCAGCUGAAGCAACUGGAACGCGACGGUAUCUUGAUGUUUUCGUUAAUGGCUACCUUAUCUAUUGAGAAUCAAGCAGUGAUUGACAGGUUACCGGUGGUGUGUGAAUUUCCUGAAGUUUUUCCAGAUGAGAUUCCUGAUGUGCCUCCAGAGAGAGAAGUUGUGUUUAUCGACGAUAUCUUGAUUUACUCCAAGACUGAAGAAGAACAUGCCGAGCAUCUGAAGAUUGUUUUGCAAGUGUUGAAAGAGAAGAAGCUUUAUGCUAAAUUGUCUAAGUGUGAAUUCUGGUUGAAAGAAGUGAGUUUUCUAGGCCAUGUUGUUUCUGGUGAUGGAAUUGCAGUGGAUCCGUCUAAAGUUGAAGCGGUAUCACAGUGGGAGACUCCUAAGUCAGUUACUGAGAUUAGAAGUUUCUUGGGUUUAGCUGGUUACUAUAGAAGGUUUAUUGAAGGGUUUUCUAAGUUAGCUCUUCCGCUAACGCAGUUGACUUGUAAAGGUAAAACUUUUGUGUGGGACGUUCAUUGUGAGAAAAGUUUCGGUGAAUUGAAGAAGCGUUUGACGACUGCUCCAGUGUUAAUUUUGCCGAAGUCAGAUGAACCUUUUGUGGUUUAUUGUGAUGCGUCCAAGUUGGGUUUAGGAGGUGUACUUAUGCAAGAAGGUAAAGUGGUAGCUUAUGCUUCAAGAUAGUUGAGAAUUCAUGAGAAGAAUUAUCCUACACAUGAUCUCGAGUUGGCGGCCGUAGUCUUUGUAUUGAAGAUAUGGAGACAUUACUUGUAUGGUUCGAGAUUUGAAGUGUUUAGUGAUCACAAGAGUUUGAAGUAUUUGUUCGAUCAGAAGGAAUUGAAUAUGAGACAGCGAAGAUGGCUCGAAUUGUUGAAAGAUUAUGACUUUGGUUUGAAUUAUCAUCCGGGUAAAGCUAAUGUUGUUGCAGAUGCCUUGAGUAGGAAGACAUUGCAUAUGUCCGCCAUGAUGGUCAGAGAGUUCGAGUUACUUGAACAGUUCCGAGAUAUGAGUUUGGUUUGUGAAUGGUCACCUCAGAGCGUGAAACUAGGUAUGCUGAAGAUUGAUAGUGAAUUUCUGAACAGUAUCAAGGAAGCGCAGAAAGUUGAUGUAAAGUUUGUGGAUUUGUUGGUUGCUAGAGAUCAGGCUGAAGACAGUGAUUUUAAAAUCGACAAUCAAGGUGUGUUGAGAUUCCGAGGAAGAAUUUGUGUCCCAGAUAAUGAAGAGAUUAAGAAGAUGAUUCUUGAAGAGAGUCAUAGAAGUAGUUUGAGUAUUCAUCCGGGAGCUACGAAGAUGUAUCAUGAUUUAAAGAAGAUUUUCUGGUGGUCUGGUUUGAAACGAGAUGUGGCACAGUUUGUGUAUUCCUGUUUAGUUUGUCAGAAGUCGAAAGUUGAGCAUCAGAAACCUGCUGGGAUGAUGGUACCUUUAGACGUGCCAGAAUGGAAAUGGGAUAGUAUAUCCAUGGAUUUUGUGACGAGUUUGCCAAAUACUCCUAGAGGGAACGACGCAAUUUGGGUUAUUGUUGAUAGGUUGACGAAGUCAGCUCAUUUUCUACCUAUUAAUAUUAGUUUCCCUAUUGCCCAGUUGGCAGAGAUUUAUAUCAAGGAGAUUGUGAAGUUGCAUGGUGUUCCUUCGAGCAUCGUGUCAGAUAGAGAUCCAAGAUUUACUUCUAGAUUUUGGAAAAGUUUGCAAGAGGCCUUGGGUUCGAAGUUGAGAUUGAGUUCGGCGUAUCAUCCACAGACAGAUGGUCAGUCGGAGAGGACAAUUCAGUCGCUAGAGGAUUUGUUGAGAAUUUGUGUUCUUGAACAAGGAGGAACUUGGGACAGUCAUCUUCCGUUGAUCGAGUUCACUUAUAAUAAUAGUUAUCAUUCUAGUAUUGGAAUGGCACCGUUCGAGGCUUUGUAUGGUCGGAGAUGCAGAACUCCGUGGUGUUGGUUUGAAUCAGGAGAAAGAGCGGUCUUAGGGCCAGAGAUUGUUCAGCAAACUACUGAGAAAGUUCAGAUGAUCCAAGAGAAAAUGAAGGCGUCGCAGAGUCGACAAAAGAGUUAUCAUGAUAAGCGUAGAAAAGAUCUUGAAUUUCAGGAAGGAGACCACGUGUUUUUGAGAGUCACUCCUAUGACUGGUGUAGGACGUGCUUUGAAGUCAAACAAGUUGACCCCGAAGUUCAUUGGUCCGUAUCAGAUAUUGGAAAGAGUUGGAACGGUGGCUUACCGAGUGGGUUUACCGCCGCAUCUUGCGAAUUUGCACAACGUUUUCCAUGUGUCGCAACUUCGAAAGUAUGUUCCGGAUCCAUCUCAUGUAAUCCAAAGUGACGAUGUGCAAGUUAGAGACAACCUUACGGUAGAGACUUUACCGGUGAGGAUUGAUGAUCGUAAAGUGAAGACGUUGAGAGGCAAGGAGAUACCUCUCGUGAGAGUCGUUUGGUGAAAGCUUGACGUGGGAGCUUGAGAGUAAGAUGCUGGAGUCUUAUCCAGAGUUGUUUGCUUAAGGUGAAUUUUCGAGGACGAAAAUCUUUUAAGUGGGGGAGAGUUGUAACGCCCACUUUCGUUUAAUCGUUUAUUUAUUCAAGUUUAGGUGAUUAUAUUAUAAUUAUAUACUAUGUGCAUGAUUUUGGUAUGUUUUGAUGAUUUAUGAUGAUUUGAUUGAUGACGUGAUAAGUUAUGAGUUUUGGAGGAUUUGAUUAUGUUAUGAGAUUUAUUUUAUUGUUAAAUAAAAUAAAGAUUUGAAAAUAAUAUAAAAUAUUUAGUUGAGGGCUGUUUUGAUAUUUUAGAUAGUUUUGGGGGAGAAAGUGAGAUAAGAUAAGUUAUUAGAAAGAGGUAUAAAUAGGGAAGACCUAAUAUCUUUAGAAAACCAUUGUACGUGAAAACUUUUGGAAAAAGGGAGAAAAGCUUAGAGAGGAGCAAGAGACCAAGAGUGCUGCGAUUUUCUUCAAACAAGGUAAGGGUGAGACUAAUAAUUCAAUAAUGUUAUUUACUGUAAUUCUGAUGAUUAGUUGACAAAGUUAGGAUUGAUUUAGAGAAGUUUUGGAAUUAGGUCAAAACCCUAAAAAUUGAUGAUCAAACGGUAAAACUCGUUUAGAUUGAUGUAGAAACCGUCCUUUAACCUUAGAACAUGUUUAGGAUGGAUUAUGGAAUCAAAAUUAGGCUUUGAACCAUGUUGUGUGAUGGAUUUUUGAGAAAAACCCUAGUCUGCCCGUGCUUCUGUUCAUCGCUCGCCACGGCGAGUGAUGAUCCUCGCCUCGCGAGGGAUGAACUUCAUCGCUCGCCACGCGAGCCCCUUCCCUUCGCCUCGCGAGUUGUUUGGUGCAACUCGCCAUGGCGAGCAACCUUUCCUCGCCUCGCGAGCUUAGGCAGAGUGCAUGUCAUAUUUCGUGUUUCGACCUUUUUAGUUGAAUCUUGUAUGCCUUUGAGUACCUGAACAUACCUAGCAUUGAUUAGGAAUGAAUGUAGGAUCAGAGGGAACCCAGAACAACCUUAGUUUGGGAGUUGAGUGGUACUCGCCAUGGCGAGUAAGUACUCUCGCCUCGCGAGUACAACCAGGAUGAACUUGUUUAUGUGUUUAUGCGAUCUGUGUCGCACUUGUUGAUCAAGAGUGAACCCCUAACUGGUAAUGAGACCUAGUGAUGUCGUUUAAUGCAGACUGUAGAGUUGUUUAAGUUAUAUUAAUAUUAAUUGAAUAUGAACUAUUGUAUUGUAUAUUCAUGCAAGAUAAGAAGAUGUGAUAAUGAUACAAAUUAUGUGCUUUGAUAUAAUGAUAUCAUCUUGUUAUGUGACCUGUUUAUGCUGCUUCCGUUAUUUAACUAAGUGCAUAAUUAUAUGAUGAAGUUUAGCUCCAAAUUAUUGGAUGCAUGUUGAUAAGUUGAUUACGAUGUUUUGUUCAUAUGUGUCCAUGCAUAGCAUAUCAUUGAGCUUAGUCCUCACCACGAAUAUUAGGAGCUUUGUCCUCCGCACGUUUUAUAGGAGCUUUGUCCUCCGCACGAUUAAAGUAUAUUAAUACUUAUGAUGACGAUUGGUACCACAUGCAUAUAAGGAGUCUAGGAGCAUUGUCACAUUGUCAUGAUUAAGAUGCCUUGUUGAUAAUGAAUGAAUAUGUGAUUAUGUGAUAAGUGUUUAUUGAUUAUGUUACGUUGUUCAUAAUGAAUUGGAUAUAUGAUUACGUGAUAAUUGUUUAGCAUUUAUGCAAAGUUAAUAAUGGAAUGAUUAUGAUGUUAAUUUAUGAUUCGCAAUUACAUUGAUUAAUGUUAUUUUAUUAUGAAAUCUCACCCCUUCUGCUUGAAAAUGUUGCCCUUCGUAUGGGUAACUUGCAGGUGAUCGUGCUUAGUGUGCAGUUGUCGUCGUGAGUGGCCUUGCCUUCACUGUGUCGUCUAGGUCGUUCUGAUACGUAACGGGAUGGGGUUUUAUGCUAUAACAUGCUUCAUUCUCUUACGUGAACUGCCAUGAAUAUUUACUGUUUUGAUUAACUCUUUUGAGAUACUUGUUGGGCCUGCGUGCCAAAACGUUUCAUGAAUUAUGGUUAAGAUUUUCCGCUGCAAAUGUUUAAGAUAUUGGUUAAAUUAUUAUUUAACUGUUGGAUUACGUUAUAUGUGAUAUCCCGUUGUUUGAUGUUUACUCUGAUAAAUGUUAUGUUUUUAAAGAAAUUUUAAAUAUUGGGAAAACGGGGUGUUACAAUAUCCUUGACCAACUUAACCCAUGUUUUGCAAGCAAUGCCUCCAAAGUUGAUUUCAAGGAAAACACUCAACAUAAUGUAAAGCAACAACCAUUUUCUCCUUAAUUGAGAUAUCCCGAGAUUCAUCAAUCAUAAUAGCAAAGAAAUCAUCUCCUAGAUCAUGAAGUAUUGCUUUAGUAGUUUCAUGGGCAGCAACUUUAACAAUAUCCUUUUGAAUUUGAGGAGAUGUUAGCUUAAGAUUUCCACUAGUAUUCUUCCAAACCUCAGGAAUAGUUUCAUUAUGGUUAACAAGAAAAUCCACAAGUUCUAGAAAAUUACCUUUAUUACUUGAUGAUGAAGUCUCAUUAUGACCACGAAAAGUUAAACCUUGCUUCAGCAAAUAUCAAAUGAAAUCAAGUAUGAUAGUCAGGAGAAUUCGAUAUUCCACUUUAACUUGAUGGGAUUAUUUGCACAUAGCUCUUUCAAUAUGUUGCUUUUGUUUUAUUAGAUCUUGAUAAUUUCUUCUUCUUCUUCUUCUUCUAUGUCUACAAUGAAUGUGAGUGAGUAGACUCUUCUUGUCUUGGGAUUGUUGGAUAAGUCUAAUGACGUUAUCCUAAUCAAACCAAACAAAAAACCCUAAUUUUAUAUAAAUCUACUUUCAAAUCUAAUUUUACUGUUUUUAUAAUGAAUUAACAAAUACUAAACUUAUAAUGCAACAACGGAGGGUUAGUAUUUGUUAAUUUAUCAUCACAAAUAUCAAUUCAUAAUGCGACAGCGGAGCUUUGAUAUUGGAACAAGUGAAAUUAGACAAGGGUUGCGAAACAUGAGAAUAUUCUAGCAAACCUUGAGACAUAUAAAGUUUCGUUCUUCAAGGAUUCUAAUAGCAACCAACCAUGAGACUAGGCUUGGUUGCUAGAGGAACACACUCAAUGAAUUUGAGAGAAGCUUUGAUACGCUUAAGAGAAACUUAUCUUUAGAAAGUAGGUCAAAUAUAAAGUUUAGGUUUAAGGUUUGUUUGUGAAGGCUUUUAUUUUAUUAUUGUUAUUUUCUUUUAAUUAAACAAAAAUACAACUUUCUACCUUCUAAACCUUCAAUCUAGUCAUUGUUAAAAGUUAAUUGAAUUCAUAACUCCCUAUCGGAACGAUACUCUUUUUACUACUUCGGUAGAACCGUGCACUUACGGUUUUACUCAUCACCGCCAUAUUUUGAAUACCAUUUCAAAUUAAACUUACGAGAGGAAUCUCCAAAUUUUGUAAGUAGAAAAUUAAUCUCUUUGAAAAUAGUAUUUCCUAAUUUUUUCUCUAUCACUUGGAUGAUAAUCUAAAAGUCUUGGCCUCAACCCAAGAUUACUAGGAAGCUUUCCCAAAUCCAAUUCUAACCAUCUUUUCUUCAAAGGCGGACCCAAUUGUAUACUUUCACAUUCAUCAAGUGUUUGAGGAUUAGGAGUUGAUGAUUGUUUUGGUUUUGAAAUUAGUUUUCUUUUGUAAUAUUUCUCUAUUGUAUAACUACUUUUUUUGUAAAUCACUACUUUUUUUUGGAUAACUACCUAUAAUUAUAAACACUACUCAUGAGUACAUAAAAAUAAUAGGGAAUCAAUCAUAAAAGAAACAAAAAAACACCAACACAAACACUUAAAGUAAUAAAAUAGCAGCAAAAUUCAAGAUUGUAAAUAAUCCCAAAUAAUCACUUAUCAAACCCUAACAAUAAAGUUUACACAAUCAACAUAAAUUCAAUAUCAACAACUUAAUAAUAGAUGUUAACUCUCAUUACAAUAACAAACAAAUAAAAAAAAUAAGUUUAAAAUCAUAAAUUUAAAGAUUACAAAUUUAUAAUUAGAAAAGGGUACCUCUUAGAAGAUCACCACCAAUGGAGGAAGAGAGAAAAGAAUAAAGAAACAAGAAACAAGAAACAAGGAGGAUUAAGUUUAGUUUAGAAAGAAUGAUGUGGAUGUGAAAGAAAGAAAGCGUGCAUGAGUUUUGGUUGAAACAGGGAGGGAGUUUCUUUCAUUCAUUGAGAACCAAUUUGAAA